rnacentral:lncRNA from 1 species
UUUAAUUGAAACAUAAAUAAAAAUAUUAGUACCAAAAGAAUCGAAAUAUUGACACCAAUUAGAUAAAAAGUCUAAAAACUUAAUAACAUCUGAGUAAUUUAUCCCAAAUAUCACUGGUUGGAUUUCUUAGAACCAUGCUCGCCCCGACCCGAACAGGAAUCACUUCAUAUUCAAUAUAGUAUGAGGACACUCUAGGUGAAACCAAAAAAUAUAAUGAAGUGACAGAAAGGAUGAGGGGGUAGGCAUAUAUAGAAAGUCAAUAACAUCUUCAAACAUUAACAAAUGCAGUCAGCACCACCAAUAUAUCAAUAUAGCUAGCCUUCAUUGCAUCCCAAUAAUAAUAGGAAGAAGUUUUUGGUACUGCAAAUAUGUGCAGGAUUUUAAUUGCCAUCAGGCUGGUAAUUCCACCCGCUGUGCUGAAAAUGCACUCCAUUCGUCUAUACAGACAGCUAAUUAGUUCCUAACACCAACAUCAUUAAUUAAAUUUCAGCCUUAACAGUGACAACGUUCCUUAAUGUCUUACCUGCAAUGACAAGAAACUAGAUUAAUAAAUGUCAUGCUUGGCCGUUGAGAGUCUGAAAAUGAGAGAAUCUGAGUCUGGUAGUGUCCCAUAUUACUUACAAAAGUGCACGACCGAAUAGGCAGCAAGAUUGUUGCAGAAAAUGGUCAUGUGAUGCAUAUAAGUGUCUUGGACUUGGCUUGGCUACAUAUAAGAAUCUAAUUAAUA